ACACAUGCAAGUCGAACGGUAGCACANANAGCUUGCUCUCGGGUGACGAGUGGCGGACGGGUGAGUAAUGUCUGGGAAACUGCCUGAUGGAGGGGGAUAACUNCUGGAAACGGUAGCUAAUACCGCAUAACGUCGCAAGACCAAAGAGGGGGACCUUCGGGCCUCUUGCCAUCAGAUGUGCCCAGAUGGGAUUAGCUAGUAGGUGGGGUAACGGCUCACCUAGGCGACGAUCCCUAGCUGGUCUGAGAGGAUGACCAGCCACACUGGAACUGAGACACGGUCCAGACUCCUACGGGAGGCAGCAGUGGGGAAUAUUGCACAAUGGGCGCAAGCCUGAUGCAGCCAUGCCGCGUGUAUGAAGAAGGCCUUCGGGUUGUAAAGUACUUUCAGCGGGGAGGAAGGCGAUAAGGUUAAUAACCNUGUCGAUUGACGUUACCCGCAGAAGAAGCACCGGCUAACUCCGUGCCACCAGCCGCGGUAAUAAGGGC
rnacentral:rRNA from 1 species